UUUCCCGUUAAAAUUGGGGGAAAACAGAAGAAUGGCUUUGCCGAAAUACAAAAUAGGAAAUGUGCCUUUAGACAAAUGGUCCAUCAAAGAGAGACUUGCCCUUGCUUGCUCUGUUUUUAGAAGCGGAGAUCAAAAUUGGGUAUCUGUAAGCAGACAAAUUAAAUCUUAUGGAGAGCCAAACAGACCACAGGAAUGGUUCUCACAAAGGAAUUGUGCCUUGCAAUAUGCUGAUCUUUUGGAGAAAGUGGAAACACCAAAGAGGAAGGGUCGGGACCGGGCGGAGGUGGAGACCCCCAGCCAGCAGAUCAUGAGGAAGUUAACAAUAGAGAGGAUAGAGGAGCUAAAAAAGAUAGUCAUGGAGCAGGAACAGAACUACAAGAAGUUAAAGAAAGAUGUAGAAAUGAUUAAAUCUGGUCAAUGGGACGACAGACUGCCUGAGAUUUACCAACAAAUGUUGAGUGAAAAGAAAGAAGCGGAGGAGGCAGCGAGGGAGGCCGAGAUGUUGGGAACAUCCACGGACUCCACCCUCCCUGAGUCUGGCCCAGCCUUUGUGGCUGAGAGUCAAACAGAGAUGGAGACGGAGGAGGUGAGUCAAGACUCGGAUAACAAGGACAUCGCUGUAGAGGUCAAUGUAGUGACUGAAGAGAAACCCGACAUACAAGAGCCCUUAAAGAUAAAGAUAGAAACAACUACCCCUGGGGUAGAGGACAAGCCCAAACCUAACCCCUCCCCCACACGGUUACUGACCACUCUUCUGUCCAGUAAGACCAGUAAAGUGGAAGAUCUAAAAGAACUUAAAGAGAAAACAGAACAAGAACAGGCUAAAGCAGAAGCAGCAGUUGCUGCGGCAUCCACUGCUGUUACCACGGUAACCGAGGCACCCGUCAAGAAAAUAGAACAGCCAGAAUCCUCAGGAGCUGUUUCAGCAAUUGAUCAAACUCCUUCCAGUACUGCCCCCACUUUGACAAAACUGCUCCACAAAGGGGGCCAGAGCAAGUCUGUGGAGGAGGAGGACACAGCAAGGGGCGCCACAGACACCCCCAGCAGCAGUAACACCAUCCCCGUGGACGAAGAAAUAGUGGAGAUAGAGGACAUCAAGGAAGAGGUUGAUGUUGAGGAUCAGAGCGGAGGCGAUCAGCAGAAAAUUAAAGAGGAAGUUGUCAAUGUCGAACAGGAGAAGAAGAACAAAGAGGUUAAAGAAACCUGCAGGUGUUAAGGAUGAGGAAAGCACAUCAAGGUUGAGUGAUGGUGACACAACGGAGGAUGAAACAGCUCGCGAGAGUGAUGACACAUCUCUGUCUGGAAACAUCACCAAUGUGCCCACCCCCACACCAUUCACCGAGUCCAUUCCCAGCAGCCCGGUGUCUCACUGUAGUGACACAGAAGAUGAAAAAGCAUACAAGAACUGGAAGAAGUCCAUUAUGUUGGUCUGGCGAUCAGCAGCCAAUCACAAAUAUGCUAAUGUGUUCCUUCACCCUGUGACAAACGAAAUAGCCCCCGGGUACACGACCAUUGUUCACAGGCGGAUGGAUCUCAGUCAGAUCAAGAAGAACAUUGAGAGCGGUGCGAUCCGGUCGACAGCCGAGUUCCAGCGAGAUAUGAUGCUCAUGUUUACCAACGCCAUCAUGUACAACAACUGUAACCAUCGAGUCCACAAGAUGGCCGUCGAGAUGUACAAUGACGUUCUACAACACAUCGAGCAAUAUGUGAGUACACAGAUCAUGGUACAGACCACAGAUACCAAGCUACUGAGGGGCUCCAGGCGGACAGAUGCUAGUGACAAGGAAGAAGAUAGCAAAAGGAGACGCACAUCAUCUGAACAGCACGGGGAAGGUGGGAAAACCAAGAGAAGGAAAACAAGAGCUGACGACACGUAAAACAAAGUUUUGAAAAAUUCCUGAUCUAAAGUUUCCCAGACAUGGUCAGAUUAUUGACAGGAAAUGAUAGAGGAAGGAUAAACGCAUCAUUUUAAGGCCUGCUAUUCAUGUCAUCUAAUUUCUCAUCUGUUCUAAAUGUUGUAAUGUCAAGAUAAAUAAAGCAACAUUCAGAAUC
rnacentral:misc_RNA from 1 species